rnacentral:rRNA from 1 species
CUCAUACGGCAACGAGCGAGACCCACGCCAACAGUUGCUAGCUCGUCCUCCGGGAUGGAGAGGACACUGUUGGGACCGCCUCUGCUAAAGAGGAGGAAGGAAUGGGCAACGGUAGGUCAGCAUGCCCCGAAUUGUCCGGGCUACACGCGGGCUACAAUGGGUGGGACAAUGGGUAUCGACACCGAAAGGUGAAGGCAAUCUCCUAAACCCAUCCUUAGUUCGGAUUGUGGGCUGCAACUCGCCCACAUGAAGCUGGAAUCCGUAGUAAUCGUGUUUCAAAAUAGCACGGUGAAUAUGUCCCUGCUCCUUGCACACACCGCCCGUCAAACCACCCGAGUGAGGUCUUGAUGAG